rnacentral:pre_miRNA from 1 species
AGUGAAAUUGCUGCACUAUAUGGUAACUCUAUUUUUGAUGUUUUGAAGACCCCUCUUCCCUCCGUUGUUUUCCACAGUGGCUAUAUCAUUUUACAUCUCCACAAGCAAU